UACGGAGAGUGCGAACGUUGUUCGGAUUCACUGGGCGUAAAGGGCACGUAGGCGGCUCGGCAAAUCGGUCGUGGAAUCCCGGCGCUUACCGUCGGAACGGCGGCCGAAAAUACCGAGCUAGAGGGCGUGAGGGGUCACUGGAACUCCUGGUGAAGCGGUGAAAUGCGUAGAUAUCAGGAGGAACGCCGGAGGCGAAAGCGAGUGACUGGCGCGUUCCUGACGCUGAGGUGCGAAAGCGUGGGGAGCAAACAGG
rnacentral:rRNA from 1 species